rnacentral:rRNA from 1 species
CGGGUGAGUAAUGUAUGGGGAUCUGCCUGAUGGCGGGGGAUAACUACUGGAAACGGUAGCUAAUACCGCAUAAUGUCUACGGACCAAAGCGGGGGACCUCCGGGCCUCGCGCCAUCAGAUGAACCCAUAUGGGAUUAGCUUGUAGGUAAGGUAACGGCUUACCUAGGCGACGAUCCCUAGCUGGUCUGAGAGGAUGAUCAGCCACACUGGGACUGAGACACGGUCCAG